UAAGGGAUAUUGGGCAAUGGGCGAAAGCCUGACCCAGCAACGCCGCGUGGAGGAUGACGGCCUUCGGGUUGUAAACUCCUUUUGUCGGGGACGAGACAAGGACGGUACCCGGCGAAGAAGUCACGGCUAACUACGUGCCAGCAGCCGCGGUAAAACGUAGGAGGCGAGCGUUAUCCGGAUUUACUGGGCGUAAAGCGCGUGCAGGCGGAUUGGAGAGUUGGAUGUGAAAGCUCCCGGCUUAACUGGGAGAGGUCGUUCAAUACUUCCGGUCUUGAGUGCAGUAGAGGGAAGUGGAAUUCCGGGUGUAGUGGUGAAAUGCGUAGAUAUCCGGAGGAACACCAGUGGCGAAAGCGGCUUCCUGGACUGUAACUGACGCUCAGACGCGAAAGCUAGGGUAGCAAACG
rnacentral:rRNA from 1 species